CAUUCAGUAGCCCAGCUACUUGUUUACACCCUUGUCUUUUUGCGUACUUAUCGUUUCCUCGGCGGGCUUGCCUGCCGGUUGGACAACUUUAUAACCCUUUUAAAUCUUCGAUCAGCGUCUGAAUAAUAUACAAUAAUUA
rnacentral:misc_RNA from 1 species